rnacentral:rRNA from 1 species
UACAGGGGGUGCAAACGUUGCUCGGAAUUAUUGGGCGUAAAGCGCGCGUAGGCGGCCACUUAAGUCGGAUGUGAAAGCCCCUGGCUCAACUGGGGAAGUGCACCCGAAACUGAGCGGCUUGAAUGCAAAAGAGGGUCGCGGAAUUCCCGGUGUAGAGGUGAAAUUCGUAGAUAUCGGGAGGAACACCGGUGGCGAAGGCGGCGACCUGGGUUGACAUUGACGCCGAGGCGCGAAAGCGUGGGGAGCAAACAGG